CCAGUCUGAUCGAGCACGCGCGUGAGCGAUGAGCUCGGGUGUAAGCUCUGUCUGAGGGAGACGGCUCGGGUGGCCCCGAGUAUGACGGUGCCUCAGGAGGACCCCCGGCUAACUACGUGCCAGCAGCCGCGGUAAUACAA
rnacentral:rRNA from 1 species